rnacentral:rRNA from 1 species
AGAACUUAGCAGAGAUGCUUUGGUGCCUUCGGGAACUCUGAGACAGGUGCUGCAUGGCUGUCGUCAGCUCGUGUUGUGAAAUGUUGGGUUAAGUCCCGCAACGAGCGCAACCCUUUAUCCUUUGUUGCCAGCGGUUAGGCCGGGAACUCAAAGGAGACUGCCAGUGAUAAACUGGAGGAAGGUGGGGAUGACCGUCAAGUCAUCAUGGCCCUUACGAGUAGGGCUACACACGUGCUACAAUGGCGCAUACAAAGAGAAGCGACCUCGCGAGAGCAAGCGGACCUCAUAAAGUGCGUCGUAGUCCGGAUUGGAGUCUGCAACUCGACUCCAUGAAGUCGGAAUCGCUAGUAAUCGUGGAUCAGAAUGCCACGGUGAAUACGUUCCCGGGCCUUGUACACACCGCCCGUCACACCAUGGGAGUGGGUUGCAAAAGAAGUAGGUAGCUUAACCUUCGGGAGGGCGCUUACCACUUUGUGAUUCAUGACUGGGGUGAAGUCGUAACAAGGUAGGCGUAGUGCU